rnacentral:rRNA from 1 species
UACGAAGGGUGCAAGCGUUAAUCGGAAUUACUGGGCGUAAAGGGUGCGUAGGCGGUUCGUUAAGUCUGUCGUGAAAUCCCCGGGCUCAACCUGGGAACUGCAUACGUGACUGGCAGACUAGAGUAUGGCAGAGGGAGGUGGAAUUCCACGUGUAGCAGUGAAAUGCGUAGAUAUGUGGAGGAACACCGAUGGCGAAGGCAGCCUCCUGGGCCAAUACUGACGCUGAGGCACGAAAGCGUGGGGAGCAAACAGG